rnacentral:rRNA from 1 species
UACGUAGGGGGCGAGCGUUGUCCGGAAUCAUUGGGCGUAAAGCGCGUGUAGGCGGCCCGGUAAGUCCGCUGUGAAAGUCCAGGGCUCAACCCCGGGAUGCCGGUGGAUACUGUCGGGCUCGAGUCCGGAAGAGGCGAGUGGAAUUCCUGGUGUAGCGGUGAAAUGCGCAGAUAUCAGGAGGAACACCCAUUGCGAAGGCAGCUCGCUGGGACGUUACUGACGCUGAGACGCGAAAGCGUGGGGAGCAAACAGG